rnacentral:sRNA from 1 species
AUGAAACUACUGGCCCUCUUUUGUAAAGUAAUCUUAUAUUUAUCCACCUCUAAGAAUUGACUCAGAUAAUAACUUCCCUGGACAUAUGUAACAUAAACAAAGGAUUUUAAUCAAUAUGACAUCCCUAAUGUUAAAUCCUAAUGGCGCACAAGAUGAAGCAUAGGAGAAGAACCUGCAACAAGGAAGCAACAGAUGGAUAAAAAUCCUAAAACAAAAUAGAAUGAAUGUCACUUGAUAAUUCAAACUAGAAUACCGAAUUAGCUCUUUGUUUCAAAAAAAAAAUAACCGAAUUAGCUCCGAUUCCAUCCAAACUUACUCAAACACAACAGAAUGCCCCAUUCAAUCUAGAGAGAACAAAUUCAACCUGGAAACCACAAUUAGCACUAAACCCAGAUAAAUUCACACUAAAUCAUACAAAACCCAUCUCACAGAGAUCUCAAAUCAUCAAUUAAUUUAAAUUAUGCAAAUGACAAUAAAUAAGGGAUGGCGCAUGGUGUUCAAAUGGGUGGAUGGCGGUGGCGCGGGAGAGACUCUUGCAGCCUUUGUUGUUGAUUGUCGCCCUCUCCAAUGGUAGAACAAAGAUUUGGCAGCCUGCAGCUGCAAGUGAAUUGUAUAAUGCCUGAACGCUGUGAAGGCAGAGGUAACGGGGAACUAGUGGUCACCCCUUUAAUUAUUAUUUUUAACAACCAACUAAAUGGACGGCGUCGUUUACUUGAGGACUGUUUUAAAUUUUUUAUUUAAUCACUAAAAGAACCGGCGUCGUUUCAUUUAGGGAUUUUUCAGAAAAGAAGAAAAGUUAGAACACUGCUGCACAGCAGCUGCAGAAACCCAGAACACCAUACAGCUCCAUGAGCAGCCAUUACUUCCGGCGGGAUCAGAGGGGCGGAACCACCACUUCUGGGUUUGAUUUCAGGCGAGUGGAGGGGCGGUCGCCCCUCCUUGCCCCUCUGUAGCUUCGCCACUAUUAGGUCCCAUAGAGUUUUUCUCGCCUAUUUUCUCUCCCCAUUUCGAUAUUUUUUUAGGGUUUUAAGUUAAGUCCUUCCUCACCUUAGCCGGCUGUUUCUUCCCUUGAGUCCUCCCCUGGCUUCCUCUUCUGCUACCUCUCUCCCCGGUCCCAAC